GAUGAACGCUGGCGGCGUGCUUAACACAUGCAAGUCGAACGGAAAGGCCUCAGCUUGCUGGGGUACUCGAGUGGCGAACGGAUGAGUAACACGUGGGUGAUCUGCCCUGCACUUUGGGAUAAGCUUGGGAAACUGGGUCUAAUACCGAAUAUGACCACUUCUUGGAUGUUGUGGUGGAAAGCUUUUGCGGUGUGGGAUGAGCCUGCGGCCUAUCAGCUUGUUGGUGGGGUAAUGGCCUACCAAGGCGGCGACGGGUAUCCGGCCUGAGAGGGUGUACGGACACAUUGGGUCUGAGAUACGGCCCAGACUCCUACGGGAGGCAGCAGUGGGGAAUAUUGCGCAAUGGGCGCAAGCCUGAUGCAGCGACGCCGCGUGGGGGAUGAAGGCCUUCGGGUUGUAAACUCCUUUCGCUAUCGACGAAGCCACUUGUGGUGACGGUAGGUAGAUAAGAAGCACCGGCUAACUACGUGCCAGCCGCCGCCGUAA
rnacentral:rRNA from 1 species